UACGUAGGGACCAAGCGUUGUUCGGAUUUACUGGGCGUAAAGGGCGCGUAGGCGGCGUGACAAGUCACUUGUGAAAUCUCCGGGCUUAACUCGGAACGGCCAAGUGAUACUGUCGUGCUAGAGUGCAGAAGGGGCAAUCGGAAUUCUUGGUGUAGCGGUGAAAUGCGUAGAUAUCAAGAGGAACACCUGAGGUGAAGACGGGUUGCUGGGUUGACACUGACGCUGAAGCGCGAAAGCUAGGGGAGCAAACGGG
rnacentral:rRNA from 1 species